UACGUAGGGUGCAGGCGUUAAUCGGAAUUACUGGGCGUAAAGCGUGCGCAGGCGGUCUUGCAAGACAGAUGUGAAAUCCCCGGGCUCAACCUGGGAACUGCAUUUGUGACUGCAAGGCUGGAGUGCGGCAGAGGGGGAUGGAAUUCCGCGUGUAGCAGUGAAAUGCGUAGAUAUGCGGAGGAACACCGAUGGCGAAGGCAAUCCCCUGGGCCUGCACUGACGCUCAUGCACGAAAGCGUGGGGAGCAAACAGG
rnacentral:rRNA from 1 species